GCAAACUUGGUCAUUUAGAGGAAGUAAAAGUCGUAACAAGGUUUCCGUAGGUGAACCUGCGGAAGGAUCAUUACAUGGAGGGGCGUAAAUCCGGUUCCUGGUGCGCUACCGUCUCGCGGGCGCAGUCAGCCCACCCGAAAGGCGUGGUGUCUCGACGAGGCCUCAGGUCGUGGUAGUUGCCCAAGUCCGGCUGCCCCACUCCACACCCUUGCGUAUUCGUACCUUUGUUGUUUCCUCGGCAGGCCUACCUGCCGCCAGGAACCUACCAAACUCUUUUGCAUUAGAAUGAAACGUUCUGACAAUCGUAAAUUAUUUACAACUUUCAACAAUGGAUCUCUUGGUUCUGGCAUCGAUGAAGAACGCAGC
rnacentral:misc_RNA from 1 species